rnacentral:rRNA from 1 species
UACCAGCACCCCGAGUGGUCGGGACGAUUAUUGGGCCUAAAGCCUCCGUAGCCGGUUUUACAAGUCCACCGUUAAAUCCAGCUGCUUAACAGAUGGGCUGCGGAGGAUACUAUAAGACUAGGAGGCAGGAGAGGCAAGCGGUACUCAGUGGGUAGGGGUAAAAUCCGUUGAUCCAUUGAAGACCACCAGUGGCGAAGGCGGCUUGCCAGAAUGCGCUCGACGGUGAGGGAUGAAAGCUGGGGGAGCAAACCGG